CAGGAAGAUUAGCGAUGGGUCCACCACGACUUCCCCGCUGCGGGCUGUGACCCUGGCCGUGAUCGUGACUAGCAUGAGACCAUCCUCACAGACCCGGAACACCAGUGUAAGGUCAAGACGAACAUCAGACAGAUCGUAAACGAGGGUCGUUUUACAACAUACCUAAACGGUACUUAUCCAAACUGUCAUUGUCAUCAAGAACAAAGUCUGAGAAACCGUGAUAGCCAAGAGAGAUCUAAGAAGACUCAUAAUGCGGGACUCGAUCCCGGGACUCCAGGAUCAUGACCUGAGCCGAAGGCAGUUGUCCAACCAACUGAGCCACCCGGGCGUCCCGAGAAGACUCAUAAUCUCCCAAUGGGCGCUGCUGUGUGCCCGCUGCUGUGGGCCUGCUCCCUGGGCACCUGCUGGCUUCCCGGAGUCACCAUCUUUGGAUUCUGGGGACUUUGGGAAUGCUGGAUUCGAAGACAUGAGCUCUCCUGGGGCCCCUUUCGGUCCCAGUCCACCCCUCACUGUCUCGCCCAGCUGUGAGCUCCCCGCGGGCAGGGACCCUGUCCUCUCUCCGUGCCAGAGUUGGCACUGAGGGUAUCCAUUAAACGAACUGUCAUGAAGUGAAUGUCCCUGAGCUCACAGCCAUAGGAUGGGACUCUGUCAUCAGAUCACUUAGUGAGAAAGCAUCACCCUUGUCAGCCCUGUGCCGGCCUUUCUCUGACAGCAAGGAGAACGCCUUAGGCCAGAGAGAGGACAUCUGAACACCCUCCCGCCCUUGCCCAUCCCCACGUGGAACCAAGAACGGGCAGGUCUAGGCUCACACUCAACCGACUAAUGGACCUAUAGCAAGAGCAGCCGCCGGCUUUGAAAGGACUUACCUUUGAUUUGUAGCAAGUGGUACUGGUUUUCCCCUUAGAACAACAACAUCAUGUUUCCUUUAAAUGUGCGCCUGCUCCUUGGGUUCCCUUUACAUGUGUUUUAAAUUUUAAAACAAUCUCAGACUUAGAGAAAAGUUGUAAGAAUGAAAUAAAGAAUCCCCGGAUACCGGUCAUUUCUGGCUAUCCUCCAGGGUUACUCUUUUACUACCUUAUCUCCCCCUCCUCCGGCACAGGCCCCUCUCCCCACAUAGAGAUCACUUUUGUUCUGAAUCAAUUAAAUGGAGGUUGUCCCUUUACUCCUAAAUCCGUCAAUACUUCCGUGUGCAUUUCCUAAAAGCCAGAAUAUUUUCAUGCAUAAUUACAGCUCACAUACAAAAUCAGGGAGUUAACACGGAUACCACGCUAUCUAAUCUGCAGACCUCAUUUGCAUCUCACCAUCGGCCCCUGUGAUGUCCUUUACAGUAAAAGGAAACCCCAGAUCACAUCUCGCAUUCAGUUGUCAGAUCUCCUUAGCUUCUUUGGUCUGAAAUAACUCCCGGAUCUUUGUAGUUUGGGAUAUUAGCAUUUUUUGAAAAGCACAUACCUGAUAUUUUGUAAGAUGGCUAAAUAUUUCUUUUACAAUAUGCUUAAGUUAAAAAAAAUAUAUGAAUCCAUCUAUAGAAAAACUACAGGCACACCUAGGAUAUAUCGUAGGUUAAAUCCAGACCACUGCCAUAAGGUGAAUCUUGAAAUAAAGAGAGUCCAGUGAGCUUUUCGGUAUCCUAGUAUAUGUAAAAGUUACGUUUGUGUUACUCUGUGGUCAAUUAAGUGUGCCUCAGAAUGAUGUCUAAAAAAAAAAGUGUAUAUAUACCUGAAAGUAUCACCCUAAAAUGCUGACCAUCAUCUGAGCUUUCAAUGAGUCAUCAUUGCUGCCCGUGGAGGGUCUUGCCUCCAUGUUGGUGGCCGCCGAUGGGCCGGGGUGGUGGGCGCUGAAAGCUGGGGUGCCUCUGGCAAGUUCUUAAAAUGAGACAACAAUAAAGUUUGCUGCAUUGA